UAUGACGACUCUAGUUGGUCCCGGCAAUAAGCGGUCUUGGGGCUAGCUAAACCAGCUAGAUCGGCCAAACUGAUAUAGCCAAAGUGCGACGAACGUUCGUCAUUUAACUGCUGACGCCACCGGAGCAUUAACGCUUGUUUACCUAACCUGAGCUUCAGAUGUACCGCGACCUGUGCUAACGCUGUGAACUGAAUUAAAUCGUAGCUCUUGAGUGUGUCAAGUUCGAUUUGCGAUAAAAAUGAUUCGCGAUCACAUAGAAUAUAGCCUCAUCUGGAUGGCAGGCUUCGAGAACCACUUGGCCAUUUUUUUUUGGACGCCGCGUUACAUCUAAGAACGCAUCGGAACGAAAGAUUGUAAUCCGACAAAGCGGCCGGUGCGGAACGAGAAAAAGCGCAAAUGGGAACCAAGGCUCUUCUGAAAAACGCGGUCUAUCUUCCUGAAUUGUAUUAUAUAGUAACUUAACGACUGAAUGACUCUUCUCAUUUGAUAUAGAAUAGAACAGGAUGGAUAUGGCUAUUCCUCGCAGAAACGUUAUCGAGAUCAUGGUGCUGCCUGUGAUGCCACCACCGCCCAUUACUUUGGAGAUCUCAGACGCCAGAAAGCUAGCUAGUCAGCGCGUAGUAUUUAUUUCUAGGCAUUGACCGUCUAGUCACUCGCUAUUUUUGCCUAUCGUAGUCUCGCUCACCUCUCGCUUGCUGUAGAACCUCCAUUUCUGUUGCUUUUUAUUCAGUAUCUCUGAAAUAUUCCUUAGUCAACAUUGUCUCUUUUCGUAAGGCUUUUGCGCGGUCUAUAUAGCAGCGCUUACCGACGACCAUUUCCAGCAGCUAGGAGCACGGAUGCGACCUACCAUACGAGCUACAAAUGCUACGGCGGCGAGGAAGCAAACGUCGCUGAUGAGAUCCGGACGCGCCCCAUCUCGAUCCGGCUAUCGAAGAGAACUUCGGGGAAAAACGGUGAAGCGGUAGAAGAGACGGGACAAGCUCGUAGCGGAUCGUCGAGUCGACGCCUGCUAACAGCAACGAACGAACUAUCCAACGACAGCGAACAGCCAUCAUCAGCUAAGUCAUCGAUACUAACAGCUUCCUCUUCGCACGGUAAACACGAUGAAUACUAUAGUUAAUGGUACGGGUUUAGCAUCCAUCGAUAUCUACCGAUACUACCACUGCGACCGUUGGUGGCGUAUCCUCUUUUAACCGUUGCUUCUUUGGGCCUGUGCUGAAGACACUAUCAUUUACCAGGCCGCCAGCAUCGUCCUCGUAGUUGGCUGUCGACAGUGAAAUGCCACGAUGGAGACGUUGGCCUUUUUGUUGUAGUGGAGACGCACAUGGGGCCGGUCAGUCCCAUUCUGGGAUGGAGACCACAGGUACUCUUUCCUGGUGCCAAGGCACUCUCAACUGCGGAUGUGCACCAACAGGGUGUAAUGGGCUCGCCCGCUGAAGGUGUCACUUCGCCUAAGAUGUUCAAGUACUCCAGUAAACUGAUGUCCCGUCAUCGCAGAGAGCUUAGAUUAACUAUUAUAACUAAAAAAGAUGCUUAAUGUAUGCUGUCGUUAUAGCAGGCACAAAAUGAAUAGGCUACCUAGACGAAAAGCACGCUUUCGACAAUGUAGAGGGGCUACUGAUCGAUUGCAUGUGGGGUGACGGCGCGAAAAAGGAACGAUCAGAAAGAGAAAAAAACUGAUAACACUUAAGAAAGUGGAGUAAGCGGCGUGCACUUAGGCGUUAAACGAUCUAAAAAUAUUUAACAUGACUGAAAUAUCAAAGACUGGUUAUUUUCAAUAGUAAGCACAAUGUAUUUAUGGAGAGGGUGCACGGUAAUGAAAGUUUUCACAGUUAGGCAACAAAGAAGCAGUUGAUAACUUACGCGACUUGAAAAAAAAACUAUUUGAUGGCAACAGAUAAAUUGAUAAGAAGAUCCGUUAAUUAGUAUUUUACCUCCAAAAAACACAGAGAGCGUUGUCUCCUUGCUAUGUAUCAUAGCCAAACCGCAAGAUGGAUGAAAAAUGAAAAUUUAGCUUCCUCUAAAAGCUUACGCAUCCAUAUAUACUAUGUUAUGACGAGAUAAAAUUAGCUACAGAUCCGUCUAUGAACGGUUGUACCAGUGAGUUGAACGUACAGCAUAUGUCACUAAAAAUUGCCUUUAUUGUAGUACCGUCUAGGCCAACUCAGGACGCUGUCGUUAGUACUAAUAUCCUAAUGAGUAUAUCGGUCAUGACAGAAAGGCUAUCGGAGAAUUCAGACCAACUCAGAAAGCCAUCCCAGCCAAGGGAAGAUUGUUAAAUAGAUGAAAUCCUGUGCUAAAUUUUCGUUGUUAACGCAAUAGCAGCUAAACAGCUAAUACUAUUAAUUAAAUAAUA